AUUGAACGCUGGCGGCAUGCCUUACACAUGCAAGUCGAACGGCAGCAUGAUCUAGCUUGCUAGAUUGAUGGCGAGUGGCGCACGGGUGAGUAAUACAUCGGAACGUGCCCUGUAGUGGGGGAUAACUAGUCGAAAGAUUAGCUAAUACCGCAUACGACCUGAGGGUGAAAGUGGGGGACCGCAAGGCCUCAUGCUAUAGGAGCGGCCGAUGUCUGAUUAGCUAGUUGGUGAGGUAAAGGCUCACCAAGGCGACGAUCAGUAGCUGGUCUGAGAGGACGAUCGGCCAAAAUGGAACGGGGAACGGGCCGAGCUUCCUCGGGGGGGAAGAGGUGGGGAAUUUUGGCAAAGGGGCGAAAGCCUGACCAGGCAAGGCGGCGUGUGUGAAGAAGGCUUUCGGGUUGUAAAGCACUUUUGCCGGAAAGAAAUGGCUCUGGUUAAUACCUGGGGUCGAUGACGGUACCGGAAGAAUAAGGACCGGCUAACUACGUG
rnacentral:rRNA from 1 species